UUAUUUAUGAUGCAAAUAUUGCAAAAUGAAACAUAUUAGGUGGCCCUUACAAUGAACCAUUACAUUUCGGGCAAAACGUAUGGCUUUCAUGCAGACAGAAUUGAAAAACAGGAAAUAUUACUCUUCACGUAGAGUGACAGUGAUGAUCUUUUCGGCCUUCCAGUUCUGGAUCUCCAUCCCUGGUACGCACGACUUUAUCCAUUGAUUAAGCUCACAGUCACUGUCAAC
rnacentral:lncRNA from 1 species